CCGCCCAACAACAAUAAUUCCGAGGCUGCGAAUCGUCCGGUGGUGAGCCCAGAUAGUUUAAUGUAGAGAUGCGCUCCUUCCCAUCAAAAUUACGAUGCUGGACCAAGCUUUUGUUUUGCUGCAGAGCGUGUGUUGUUGGGUGUGUUGGGUCUGCAUCUGCAGUCUGCGUCAUAACAAAACAGAUAAACACGUGGCAACUGGUUUGACGAUACUACCUAUAGAUUUCAAAAGUUUCAGCUUUGAGCACACUUAACGGCUGGACCCCAUGCCCAGCGAGCGCAGGGUGAACAACACAAGAUCUGCUAAUAGCACAUCUAAAUUUAUGAAUUUAAGCUUUGUCUUUUUAUUUUUGUGGCUUGGGUCUUCAGUGUUGGAAAGCGAACAAAAACAAGCCAACACUCGCAACCACAAUAAGCACGAAUUAACAUGACCUUUGGCCGCCGAUCCCCUUGAACUCGAAUUUCCUCAGCCUUCGGAGCUAGGCUCCAUAUUAUAUUUGCCAUUUUAAUGGCUUGCUCGUGGAUAUACAGUUGUGCGUUGUGUUUUAUUUAUGUCAGCCAUGUUUGAUGUGCGACAGUGUUGUAAAAUGUCCCUAAAACAAGGUCGGAACCCAGAUAAUAUAUGUAUGCAUAUUCGUAGAAACGUUUCCGCGAACCAUUUUGAGAGUGAACAAAGGUCAAUGAGCUGGUGCCCUUUGCACUCCUAAUGGAGCACGGCAAUUAGAAACGCCACCUGAUCAUUAUCGAAUGAUUAUGGCCAAUUACCAUUUGUGCCUGGCUAGAAAAUUCAGAGAAAAUAAUUGUCACUGCGGACGGUAGCGUACAUAACCAAAGCCAAUAAAAACCCAAAUGUUCGGACAAGCUCAGCGGCCAAGUCGAGUCAAAAAACAAUUGAAUCCAAGUGAUUGCUAGUGCUGCACAGGCAUAGGCACAGGCCAUCAUACGAAGGACAGGAUGGAUAUCCCGACUGGCACUGUCUCUCAUGGGACUCAUGGACAUUUUGCUAAUGAAAAUGUUUAUUCAAAUUUGCGUCAAUGGAUGUGUUUACACGAAUGAAAUGACCAUCAAUCUACAUAAAUAAGCUUUGGAUGGUGCUCCCAAUGACGAAGGUUUGAUGACUGGUCUAUGGAUCGAUUUCGCUAUCGAUUGACUCAUCCCAGAGGUAGAGAUUUAACAUAAGCCACGGCUUAAGCCGUGCGCCUUCGUUUAGAUCAAGCAACAAGCGAGUGCCAUGAGGAGUCGCCACUCCAGCCACACGCCACGAUGCUGCUGGUCAGCGCCAGAGCUCGGAGAGGAUGUCCCCGGCAUACAGAACAUUAGUCAAGUGCAACAGCUUUCAAAUAAACAUAAAUUGAACAUGCUGAGCCAGCCCGGAGGCAACAGUCGGUGCCUUGGUUGGGAUGCAGCUGCAGCUGCUCCUCCUGCCCCCCUCUGCCUGGUGUCGUAAUUAAAGCCAGUCGCGCAAUAACGAAGAGGAAUGUUUGUUGCCAGCCAGCGGCGACCAACAAGAAGAGGAUGCGACUCUAAUUUAUUUGUUUUUCCCACUUGACUUUUAUUUACACGUGCAUUGGCAUGCGAGUGCCGUGGCGUGGAGCGGAA